rnacentral:rRNA from 1 species
CAGAGGGUGCGAGCGUUGUUCGGAAUUAUUGGGCGGAAAGGGCGCGUAGGCGGUGCGGUAAGUCACCUGUGAAAUCUCCUGGCUCAACUGGGAGCUUGCAGGCGAAACUGCCGUGCUGGAGUGUGGGAGAGGUGCGUGGAAUUCCUGGUGUAGCGGUGAAAUGCGUAGAUAUCAGGAGGAACACCUGUGGCGAAAGCGGCGCACUGGACCACAACUGACGCUGAGGCGCGAAAGCUAGGGGAGCAAACAGG